UUGGAGAUAGUUGGGAGUCACUUGA
rnacentral:piRNA from 1 species